rnacentral:rRNA from 1 species
UACGGGGGGGGCAAGCGUUGUUCGGAAUUACUGGGCGUAAAGGGCGUGUAGGCGGCCAACUAAGUCCGACGUGAAAUCCCCAGGCUUAACCUGGGAACUGCGUCGGAUACUGGAUGGCUUGAAUCCGGGAGAGGGAUGCAGAAUUCCAGGUGUAGCGGUGAAAUGCGUAGAUAUCAAGAGGAACACCAGUGGCGAAGGCGAGUCCCUGGACAAUACCUGACACUGAGGCACGAAAGCCAAGGGAGCAAACAGG